rnacentral:rRNA from 1 species
CCUACGGGAGGCAGCAGUGGGGAAUAUUGCACAAUGGGGGAAACCCUGAUGCAGCGACGCCGCGUGAGUGAAGAAGUAUUUCGGUACGUAAAGCUCUAUCAGCAGGGAAGAAAAUGACGGUACCUGACUAAGAAGCCCCGGCUAACUACGUGCCAGCAGCCGCGGUAAUACGUAGGGGGCAAGCGUUAUCCGGAGUUACUGGGUGUAAAGGGAGCGUAGACGGCAGCGCAAGUCUGGAGUGAAAUGCCAUGGCUUAACCAUGGAACUGCUUUGGAAACUGUGCAGCUAGAGUGCAGGAGAGGUAAGCGGAAUUCCUAGUGUAGCGGUGAAAUGCGUAGAUAUUAGGAGGAACACCAGUGGCGAAGGCGGCUUUCUGGACGAAAACUGACGCUGAGGUACGAAAGCGUGGGGAGCAAACAGGAUUAGAUACCCUUGUAGUC